GACGAACGCUGGCGGCGUGCUUAACACAUGCAAGUCGAACGGAAAGGCCCUGCUUGCAGGGUACUCGAGUGGCGAACGGGUGAGUAACACGUGGGUGAUCUGCCCUGCACUUCGGGAUAAGCCUGGGAAACUGGGUCUAAUACCGGAUAGGAGCCAUUUUUAGUGUGAUGGUUGGAAAGUUUUUUCGGUGUAGGAUGAGCUCGCGGCCUAUCAGCUUGUUGGUGGGGUAAUGGCCUACCAAGGCGGCGACGGGUAGCCGGCCUGAGAGGGUGGACGGCCACAUUGGGACUGAGAGACGGCCCAGACUCCUACGGGAGGCAGCAGUGGGGAAUAUUGCACAAUGGGCGCAAGCCUGAUGCAGCGACGCCGCGUGGGGGAUGACGGACUUCGGGUUGGAAACUCCUUUCGCUAGGGACGAAGCUUUUUGUGACGGUACCUAGAUAAGAAGCACCGGCUAACUACGUG
rnacentral:rRNA from 1 species